GAGAAACGCGCGUUCCUUUUUUCUCGCGACCGACCGGACCAAGGUUCCUCAGAUUCGCGGACGUUCCAGUGUUCGGCGGUUCAUCGUUUGACGGUUCAUCGUUAGCCCCCGUUUGCGUUCGUUUGGUCGCAGAUAUGAACGAGACAGAGAGAUCGGUCGCAGAUAUUCCGUGUAUCACCGUGUCCCUCGAUCGCCGCAGAUCGGCUCCAGAUCCCGGACCAGCAUCAAACGUGUCACUUGCGCGCACGUCGAGUUCAACGAAACACGGGAAUGUUGAUCACGUUUCUUCUUCGAUGCGAAAUAGAGGAGAGCGAGCCAAGUGUCGGUGGCCGACGGACAGGGAGAAGGAGAGACAGAAUGAUAACAGGGUUGAAGUGCGAGAGAGGCGGAGAGGAGAGAGAGCGAGGGGCAUAGGAGACGACCGAGCUGGGACGAGAGAAAGAGAGAGGUUAUGUGCAGACUACGACAGGAGGAAUUCCAGCGGGCGGCAGCGCUGAGGUCCACGGAUGGUCCGUCCGUUCCUUCAUUCCCCUCGUCCGACAAGUGACGACUCCGCGACGAUAAUUCGAGAGGACCGUUCGGGUGGGACGCGUCUCGGGCUCGUUAGGAGAUCGGCUCUCGGAGAUGAAGAUUUAGCGAAUCACGAGGACAACUGCGAGGACCCUUCGUGGACUCUUGGUGGACAUAAAGGCCAGCAAUUCGGAGAGGUGAUAUGAAGUGACAACGAUCUGAAUCUAGGAACUAGCGUGCAGACAACACCGAGUGAUCUGGAAGGGACAAUGCAACUAACAUCUUGACCUAGGACCUAGCACGCGGACAUCAGUAAAAAUAGAGGGUGAGUUUGGUAAUCGGUAGUAACGGACGCUCGAGUUUGUUUUCGAAUACCGAGUGAAUUCCGCGAACAGUGACUCGUUGCGGACCGUUUAAAGAUCUCGAGAGCAAUUCCGCAACAAAACACUUGAUCCACGUACCUCGCGGACGAAGGGGGAACCAGAUAACGUUCUGUAGCGCGUGCGGUUAUCUUGGUCGAUUCCCUUGACUUUUCACCGCCAUGAGGUAUAUAAUACGCUCGGUGUAGACAAGCGGCUCUUAUUCACGAUGCAACCUAUGUGAACGUCGCGACGGUAUCAGUAAAACUUUCCAUUCGAUCGUCUCUUUCCUAGCGAUAACGGUUGCUAAAUCAUCGCCAGGUUUCAAAGUAAGCGAAUCCCAUCGCGUCUUCCCAACCCCUGCUAAGUCCUCGGUUUCGAAUGAAAAGCUUCUAGGUUGACUUUUUCGAAGUCGACCUUUGCUCCAGCCGCGUCCGUAAGAAAGCGUAGCGACGGAACGGGGAGGCAAGGUAAGCUUAUCGCCGUUUCCGACGAUAUUGACGGCUAAUGUGCGUACGGUCGCGACGAAAGCAGAGACGGCGAGCACUGGCGGCAGUGUCCGAUACUAUUAUUAGUGUGCAGCUGCCUGCGAAUUACUGAAUGAAAGGGAAGGGCCCGCUUCGAAACAAUGUCCGCAAGAGACGGGAGCUGCAUCAGCGGAGGCUGUCGCAGUGAUCAGGCUACUGGCUGGCAGGUCGAACGUGGUCGAACACACGUGCACAAGUUCGAACCAAUUCGAACUCGUGUCGUGUCUUCAGUUGGAACUUAUGAUCAUGCGGCAAAUUAUUGGAACGAAUUGAAAGCUAACAGAAACGAAUAAUCUGUUGAAAAUUCCCGAACGGUCGUCUUGUUGCAUCCUAGCAUUGACGAAGACUGCGGCUAGAAGAGGGCUCAACAGGUGCAGAUUUUUCCAAACGCGAACGAAGCCCACCUCUGUAGCCAGUUAACCGCGGAACGAUCCACGAUGUAGAAACAAGCGCCCUCUUUCCGCCGAGUCCACGAUUUUUCUCGUCCUCGUCCUCCCUCCGCUUCGAACAAGGAAAACGUUGAAGCUCCACUGAUGACGCGUCAAGUGUUUCGAUCGGGGAAGCGAGAUCGUUGCUCUCUGGGCAACGCCGGUCGGUGUUUCAAACAUAGCUGGACAAAACCCAAAAUACCAACGGAAAAAUACUAAUGGUCGUGAGUAAUCGACCUUUUAUAAACGAUCAUAACUUCGCCUUGUUUUCGGUUGGCGUAAGUAAGGCUGGUUUCCCGCGACGAUGUUCUAGGACAUGCUUUCUUCCAGCACGGUGACACCGUUGCUACGAGAAUAUUCUUAACUAUUCCAGCAAUUGUUGCGCUCCAGAGGGGUCCGUAGAACUCUGCGUGAAUGCCAGUUGAGAAAGGUUUCAACUCGUGAGAUACCAAGAAACACAACACCUCGAGACGAGACCUUUGGGAGAGAGGGUCGCCAUCUAUUGGCUCUAAUUGCCCGGUACUCGUUGAAUGGAGAUGGUCUCGGCUAUGCUUUCGCUGGCAUAUAAGUCCGAGUUUAAAUGAUCGCAGCCCGACGCUUCUCGUUUAGUACUUGUACACAAGAAAAUUGUGCGCGGCGAGCACCCUUUCGUUCUUGUUCGCACGAUCCUCUUUCCUCUACUAGCCUGAGCUAGGUGCAUCGAAUCUAACGUAAAUCGUCAGACAUCGUCGCUCGGAUCCUCUAUUUCGGCUCCGUUUUCAUCUUCGUCACGUUCGCUAUCCUCGCUCAAUUCUUUGAAAUGGUGACUUUGUGUUGGACUGGAAUUAGUUAAAGCUCGUAACGUGGUUCAACGUGUCCGGCUGAUGAAGCAUCUCAUCAAAUAAAUGAAGCUUAAUGACGAUUCCCAACGUAUAUACUUCGUCGAAGAAAAUUCAGUUCGGACAGAGACCAAGAAGUCGUACUAUUUACUGGUCUUCCAUGACCGAACACGGGAGUUCAAGCGAUAGAUGACUUUCAAAAUAAUGCAUAUCGCGCCGCGAUAAAUCCUUUCGCCACCUCCACGAAACGUCGCCGUCAACUGCGCAUUAUUUUCCUGUAUGUCGCAGCGAGCUUUGUAACGCAGUCGAUAGACGCGACUUCCAGGUUCGAUUGAACCCAUCUCGCGAGAUUAACGAGAACGAAUUCGCACUAAUUUACGAAUCAACGUUGCUGUCGAUACGAGGCUUGCAUCGCAGCUUUUGUUUCAACGUGCCCGCGCGUCUGGCCCUAAAUGAUCGGCUCCCUGCUCUGAACGCGUUUGCACGCAUUCUCUCAUUGACUAUGCCGAUUCUCGCGCGUGUACUUUCUUCUUGGUCCAGUAGUUGCGAUACUCUAACUGGCCUAUGAACUCUGCGGUUUUUAUUGUUUAACAUCGCACACUUACGUCUGCGAGACUAAAACUGUGGAGUCUUUGGGGAUGCUGCGGUCGAGCACUUUAGGGUAGUUUUCUUGGCUCUAUUCAGACAGUCACAUAUCACUGAAUUACAAAUUUUAUGCAUUCGUGACAAAAAUGAGUUGUUUCAAUUUAAAGUAGUAGAAAGAUUACAAGAAUUUAGAAAUGUUAUUGUAUUAUUUUUAAUCCGAUAAAAUUAUUAAAAGAAGAA